GACGAACCGUGCGAACGUUGUUCGGAAUCACUGGGCUUAAAGGGCGCGUAGGCGGACUGCCAAGUCCGGGGUGAAAUUCUCCGGCUUAACCGGAGAAUUGCCUGGGAUACUGGCGGUCUUGAGGGAGGUAGGGGCACGCGGAACUUCCGGUGGAGCGGUGAAAUGCGUUGAUAUCGGAAGGAACGCCGGUGGCGAAAGCGGCGUGCUGGCCCUCUUCUGACGCUGAGGCGCGAAAGCCAGGGGAGCGAACGGG
rnacentral:rRNA from 1 species